AGCUCGUACUUUUUUUGUUUUUGGCUUGCGUUUUGCGUAUCUGACCGAUUACAGCUGAGUGCAUUUAAAAAAAGAAAUCAGCAUUAAGCGAGACUGGAUUCCGAUUCCGAUUGGGAAUGGGUAAAAGCACGAUGCUGGGCUUUUUCGGAAUCUUUUCGCAGGGUGCACGCAGUCGAAACAGACAAAACAAAAUCAUUUUCCAAUUUCACGCUUCAAAUAAUUUACUAAUUAGAUUUGCAUAUAAUUUUUUGGCAGCCCGCAUGUCCCAUUUUGCUACCAAACACAAAAAAACUCGGCAUGCUCGCUGACUUGGCAAGCUGGAGGGCAAAAGUGUAUCCAGUGGAUAGUGGAUCCAGUAUCCGGAUGCAGAAUCCUGUCGGGUGCAAUAAAAGUCCUGCGAAAGUUUUGUUUGCUAAAUAGUUGGUUACAAAUUUUGUAAACUCCAGGCUUUUCACUGCUGGCAGCUUCUAUUUUUUUGCGGCCAACCAACAUGCAUCCAAACAAUUUAGCAGAGAUCAUCAUAAUUUGCAUUUUGAUUUGGCCAAACGGUACAGAGGAACGAUAACAACAAGUUCAGGGCUGGCAAAGCACCUAAAUAUUAUAUAAUAAAAUAAUAUAUAAACCAAAUAUUAUUUUAUAAAUAUUUAUAUGUAAAUAAAAUAGGAUUAUAUUUUUUGCUAAUAAUGA